rnacentral:rRNA from 1 species
CACGUAGGGGACGAGCGUUGUCCGGAUUCAUUGGGCGUAAAGCGUGCGCAGGCGGUUUUUUAAGUCAGACGUGAAAUCCCCGGGCUCAACCUGGGAAUGGCAUUUGGGACUGCAAGGCUUGAGUGCGGCAGAGGAGACUGGAAUUCCUGGUGUAGCAGUGAAAUGCGUAGAUAUCAGGAGGAAUACCGAUGGCGAAGGCAGGUCUCUGGGCUGACACUGACGCUCAUGCACGAAAGCGUGGGGAGCAAACAGG